rnacentral:lncRNA from 1 species
CCAAGGCAGAUCAAUGUUCACAAGGGAUUUACAGGCGUGCCAGCUGCUGCCAACAAACCCCGGUGCUCUGGGACUCAAACAGCACUAAGGAGUCGCCCUGCUGAGUGCCACAGCAUCUGCAGCUGCCUCAGGUCGUGCUGCUGUUGUGCAUCUGAGUGCCAGUGCUAGAAAUGAAAAGGUUCAAAGAAUUGUGACACCAAGGAAAGGCCCAAAGCUGCACUCUGCUCCUGACAGUUUCUCUUCACAGCACCAUUUUCCUCUGAGCAUGUUCCAGUGUCUCUGCACUCCCUGCCCACUGCAGCAGCUGGGGCCAGCCAAAGCAGGCUCGCCUAGCCUGGUGUUCCUGCUGGGAGCUUCUCACAGCACGAGCAACCUCCUCUCCCGCACAUCACAGGUGUUCUCCACAUGAUGGGAGCAGGUGAGAGCACAGCUUUGCCAAACCAUGAUGAAGUUUGGUAGCUGAAACCCAAAAUCCGUGUUUGGCCUGAGAUCUGAAUCUGGCUCUCUGCUCCAUCCUCUGCUCCGAGCCAAAUCAAACUGCAGCUCGUCAUGAAAAGCAAACAGCACCGUGCUCUGAUCGUGUAAGAUCUGCAUCCAGCUCCAAACUCCGAGAGGAACCUUCUCCCUGGGUGUGUGUGUGGCACAGUGCUGCCAAUGCCUGGCAUGGUGUGCAGGGCCAGGCAGCAAAGCCUUUUGGGAACGUGCUCAGAGUCACACCAAGGAUCUGCUGGGCAAAGAGGAGCACCAACAGAUUCAGCAUUGCCUGUGGUUCCCUUGUUCCCUGCAUCCCUUCCCAGCAAAGACACGGCGUGGCAGAGCCCUGACCCCAGGUGUUGGCUCCCCUCUGCAAUCGUGCCUGAUUGAGCAUUACCAGGAAAUGCAGAAAUGUGGAGCCAGACUGGUACUGAGCAGUACAAGACUGAAGAUCUUUCUGUUAGUGGGUCUCACUCAGCACCAUCAGCUGAUAUCGCUUAAAGAGGUGCCGAUUCGCUGCAAAGCACAGGUGGAGAUAAAAAGGCUUUCUCUGGGAGCCAAGCAGCACGGAGGAGCUGGAGCCUUGGCAGGAGCAGGAGGUGCCCCAAGCAGCUCUGCAAGGAGUGAGUGCCCUCACUGCUCUGUCACCAGCAGUCCCUGGGAGCCAUCAGCACCCACCAGCCAUUCCCUGAGAUAA